CUCUCUUGCCCUUCCCCUGGCUAGUGAAUUUUUCGCCAUCGAUUUAGGGCUACGAUUUGCUUGUUUUUUUUUUUCCCUGUCAAUUUCUGCCCGUUGCUAAGCUAGCGAGUAGCUCGUAAUCUUUUGGGGUAGUUUUCCCCUGUACUAAGCUAUUUGAAUUAGUGGAAAUUUGUAUGCUUAUCUCCAGAUGCGGCCUAAAUAGUUGUUAUUGUGGCCCGCGGCUAUUGGUGUCCUAAACUUCAUUUUUAAUCUUUUGUGCUGUAUGCUUAACAAAUCUUAGAACUGGACUCAUGUGUUGGAAAUUUGUGGUUUCACUGCCACCACCUGAUGAUAUACACCUCUUUAUCUUAUGGAAAUCGCACUUCUGAGUGAUUAAUUGCAAAUGUUUUGGUGCUGUGUGCACGAGUCAUCAUCAACGGUGCUUUUCUGGCUGCAAUUGCUCUUUUAUGUUUCCAUCUUUUUUCCACUAGGUGAUUUGUGCUUUUUUGGGGAAACAAAUGAGGCAACCCUUGUCUAGUGGGCUGUGAAAGAAUCCCCUUCUUUUAUUAUAACUCUGUAACGUUGUUUCUCCUUUUGAUUUCCUGUUCUGAUUCAUAAAUAACACUUCUGUUCAAUAUGUGUUUGUUUCUAUUAAUUUAUAAUAACACUUCUGUUCAAUAUGUGUUUGUUUCUAUUAAUUUAUGAUUGUAAUGCAUGGUUACUCUAAAGCAGGUCAAUUCUUCUUUAUAUUUAUGCAUGUCAGUCAUUUAGUAUAGGAAGUCUAUAUGUUUUCUUUGCUGGUAAUGGUCCACUAUUUCAGGCUUUAACUGUUCAGAGAGUUUUAAUCUCAUAAGGUGUUCUUACACAGAUAUUGAGAUAAUUGUAAAUACAGUGAAACAUGUAAUGUACUUGUUAGAUCUCUUGUUGUCUUCUAUGUUCAGAGGCAUGCCUCCAAUUAUUGUGGAUGUCAAUCAAACAUUCUCAUGAAGCUGUACCAUUUUCUUCGUCUGUCCUCUUUGAGCAUGAAAUUCAUAGUAAUGUCAUUCCUCUCUCUGAAAAGUUAGAUCGUUGUCUAUGCUAAUCUGAUGAGGAAGAUGCUAAAUACAGUUCUUACUACAUGGAAGCUUGAGUUUGACAGUCUCACUAUUGUCCAUUUGUUAUCUAAUUAAUGUAAUUGCUUCAAAAGAAAAAUGUUGUUUUUGGACUGUGAUAGACAAUAGCUUCUUAUUACAUGUUGUACUAAACAUGUUGCAAUCUAAUUGAGUAAACUUUUUUUGUUGCGAGAAGAUUAAACUUAUUUAUGUUUUGGUUUGAUUCAGGAUGGGAGAACAGUGGUCUUAGUUAAAAAUGCUGCUAACUCCAUCCCAUAUUAAAGCUACUAUAUCCAUAAUAUGGGAUGGAGGUAAUAUCUUUUUAGGCUGAUUUCUGCUUUCUCCACUCAGCUUCCCAAUGUCAUGCUAAUGUCUACUACCUCCGCCCCAAAAAUCACUUUUCUACACAAAUCUAGAUAGUCACUUGUCUAGAUUUGUGUAGAGAAAAUGAUUGGAACAGAGGUAGUAGUUAUCUGUUGCCCUUAUGUGCAUCUUCAUGGUUAGUCUGUAGACCAAUCAACCUCUUCCUUCAUAUUGAGAAUCGAAAACUAAAUAUUUGCGUUGAUUUUAUCUAAAAAGAAUUUGCGGGUGGUGGUCCUAAUUUGCCAGUCAAAACAUUUUGGACAGUUGUAGAAUAUGUAUAAAUUCUUGAAUUUGUUUAAUUAGUGGACCUGAGCCUGUGACUACAUGGAGUGUACCGUUACCGUGUACAUGUCUCAACCUAUUGUUAGCUAAUCUGGUGAUUUUUUUUUUAAAAAAAAAAUUCAAGCAAGGUCCCUAACUUUGCCUUGAAAAAGAAAUUAAUCU